rnacentral:lncRNA from 1 species
CAGGGAUCUGCCUCCUGCCUCCUUCUCCUUGCUUCCCUCCUUCCUGCAGACACCCAGUUCUUCCAACAAGCGAGCUCACAUGUGUCUUGGUCCCCCAGCCAGGAGCCUCUCCUGCAGGGAAGCGUGGCCACCGGAUCCAGGGCAGGCCUGGGGCCAAGACCCAGACCGGGGGCGGGGGGGGCUCCUGUGGCCUUUGCUUCCUGUCCCCUCCACCAACUCCAGCAACGCAAUGGAGCCUCUGAUAUCCAGCAGCCCUGACCUCCAGCCCCUGACCCCUGAGCCCCAAGGUGGCUGCUGAGCACGAGAUGGGGGGAGCCUGGGUCGGGGGUUCCUGCUCCUGGUGCUCCGAUGACCUUCUUGCAGAGUUCGGAGGACACUCAAGGACCCCCACCUGUCAGGUGCCGCAUGUCCUGGGGAUGGAGAAACAGCUCAUUUCCUGUCCUCGCCUCUCCCUGGGCCCCUGAUGCCAGCGGCCGCUCGCUCCACCCCGAGCCGGGCAGGUGCACCCGCCUAGGUGGGACCAGCUCCGAGACAGAAACUUAAAUGCACUGGGAAUGUCUGCGUAACCAUGCACACAUGUGGACUUACUCCCAGGAAGGCACGGCACCAAAAGGAAAAUAAAGUCUGCCAUUUCAAAUGGGCAGCAGCUGACCCCGCAGAAGGCCAGCAUUUGUCAGCUUUUGCCAGGACACCCUGGACACGGCCUUUGUGCAGCCGGCUCGUGAGUUCCGUGUUCCGAGAGGUCACACGCAGCACUUUCUGCCCGUCUGGGACCUCCGGGGACUGUGGGAACCGAGGGCACAGGGGGCGGAGGCGGGCUCCCCUCCGGGCACACACUCAACGUCGGGGGCGAGAGGGGCCAGGGUCGCACUCCGUAACCAGGAAGGGGCUGUGCCUGGGGGCAGAGCUGCGUCCUUCCCCGGGGACCACACCCAGUGCAGCCUCAGCUGGGGCAUGUGGUGCGUUGGGGUGCCUGGGCCUGGCGGUCAGGCAUGGGCUCUGUCUUCAAUGUGAG